rnacentral:rRNA from 1 species
UACGUAGGGGGCAAGCGUUGUCCGGAAUCAUUGGGCGUAAAGAGCGUGUAGGCGGUCCGGUAAGUCCGCUCUGAAAGCCCGGGGCUCAACCCCGGGAGGCGGGCGGAUACUGUCGGGCUAGAGUCCGGAAGAGGCAAGUGGAAUUCCUGGUGUAGCGGUGAAAUGCGCAGAUAUCAGGAAGAACACCUAUGGCGAAAGCAGCUCUCUGGGACGGUACUGACGCUGAGACGCGAAAGCGUGGGGAGCGAACAGG